rnacentral:misc_RNA from 1 species
AACCAUAGAAACCUGCGGAGUACCUGCGGAGGGAUCAUUAUCGAGUGUUUAAAAACCCUUACAAAAGGGUUUUACCUCCCGUCCUUUGCUGAAGGGCCCCCCUAAGUUUUAGGGGGGCUUUUACAGAAAAAUCCUACUUCGGUGUGGUAUAUAACCUACCGGAAUACCCACAAAAAUUCUUUAUUUAAACUGUUCAGUCCGAGAAAAUAUUUUGAAUGAAAAAACUUUUAACAAUGGAUC